UACGUAGGGCGCAAGCGUUAUCCGGAAUUAUUGGGCGUAAAGAGCUCGUAGGCGGUUUGUCGCGUCUGCCGUGAAAGCCCGGGGCUCAACUCCGGAUCUGCGGUGGGUACGGGCAGACUAGAGUGAUGUAGGGGAGACUGGAAUUCCUGGUGUAGCGGUGAAAUGCGCAGAUAUCAGGAGGAACACCGAUGGCGAAGGCAGGUCUCUGGGCAUUAACUGACGCUGAGGAGCGAAAGCAAGGGGAGCGAACAGG
rnacentral:rRNA from 1 species